rnacentral:rRNA from 1 species
AGUGAACGCUGGCGGUAGGCCUAACACAUGCAAGUCGAACGGCAGCACAGGAGAGCUUGCUCUCUGGGUGGCGAGUGGCGGACGGGUGAGGAAUACAUCGGAAUCUACUCUGUCGUGGGGGAUAACGUAGGGAAACUUACGCUAAUACCGCAUACGACCUACGGGUGAAAGCAGGGGACCUUCGGGCCUUGCGCGAUUGAAUGAGCCGAUGUCGGAUGAGCUAGUUGGCGGGGUAAAGGCCCACCAAGGCGACGAUCCGUAGCUGGUCUGAGAGGAUGAUCAGCCACACUGGAACUGAGACACGGUCCAGAAUCCUACGGGAGGCAGCAGUGGGGAAUAUUGGACAAUGGGCGCAAGCCUGAUCCAGCCAUACCGCGUGGGUGAAGAAGGCCUUCGGGUUGUAAAGCCCUUUUGUUGGGAAAGAAAUCCAGCCGGCUAAUACCCGGUUGGGAUGACGGUACCCAAAGAAUAAGCACCGGCUAACUUCGUGCCAGCCGCCGCAGUAA